UGUGACAGUUCGUCGCUACGUACUCGUUUCAAAUUAUCUCUCGAUGCUGGAUGGAAGAAUUUUUUGCACAUAUAAUUAUUGAAACCCUUGCCCAUCUUGGUAUCGUUCAACAAAACUUUUCAGGACGCCGAAAAACUACAAAAAAUGUCUGAAACGAAAGGCAAAGGGGAAUUUGAGUCGGAGGUCAGUGUCGUCGAGAGCGAAUCGGAAUUUAGUGACGUCAGGAACAAAGCAGAAGUUGGUGACGUCACAAAUAAAGCGGAAGCUGAUGACGUCAAAAGCGAAUCGACAAUAAAAAACUUGAAAAAUGACGCAGAAGGCACUGACGAUAUUGGCCGUAUAGUGACAGACUCUGUGCACGAAAGGUUCCGGCAACCUUAUGUGUAUUGUCCGCAGUGCAAAAUCAACAUUCCCGCGUCCAAAAGUGAUAUCGAGAACCACUUUAAUCAGUCUCAUUAUUCCGAUAAUUGUUGCCUAUACUGUAAUGCUAAGGUUUUCCAAUAUUUAUCAUUUGGAGUUGACAUUGACGGUAAUGAGUACACGAAACACGUGACUCAUCAUCGUUGUAACGCACGCCAAUAAUUACAUAUUUAUGUAUGUUCGUCACGAGCACGAUGAGAACAAACCCAGAUGCAAAGUAUUUUUUGUACUUAGAAUUUAAGAAUAUUUGAAAAAAAUCAUUCAAUGGGAAAAUGCAUGUACAAAGAAAUCGUUUGAAACAUUCCUUCAUUGUCGGAAAGUAUAAUGAUUGCUCACACAAUCUUUCUAUCGAAUAAAAAAUGUUCACUUUA